rnacentral:rRNA from 1 species
UACGUAGGUGGCAAGCGUUGUCCGGAUUUAUUGGGUUUAAAGGGUGCGUAGGCGGUCUAUUAAGUCAGCGGUGAAAUACUCCAGCUUAACUGGAGGGGUGCCAUUGAUACUGAUGGACUUGAGUCAAGUCGAGGUAGGCGGAAUUGACGGUGUAGCGGUGAAAUGCUUAGAUAUCGUCAAGAACACCAAUAGUGAAGACAGCUUACUGGGCUUAGACUGACGCUGAGGCACGAAAGUGUGGGGAUCAAACAGG